rnacentral:rRNA from 1 species
CAGUCGCCGCGGUAAUACGUAGGUGGCAAGCGUUGUCCGGAAUUAUUGGGCGUAAAGGGCUCGCAGGCGGUUUCUUAAGUCUGAUGUGGAAGCCCCCGGCUCAACCGGGGAGGGUCAUUGGAAACUGGGAAACUUGAGUGCAGAAGAGGAGAGUGGAAUUCCACGUGUAGCGGUGAAAUGCGUAGAGAUGUGGAGGAACACCAGUGGCGAAGGCGACUCUCUGGUCUGUAACUGACGCUGAGGAGCGAAAGCGUGGGGAGCGAACAGGAUUAGAUACCCCCGUAGUCCCUGUCUCUUAUAC